CCCAAGCUUUUUUCAGAUCUUUUAUACGUGUUCCUGUUAUAUAUACGCACUAUAAUUUAAGAUUUUCACCAAACUUCUAAAGAUCCAUUACUUAGAUAGUUAUGGUGCCAGGAGAGUUGUAAAUCUUUACAUCACAUACUUAGCUGAUACGAUACGCCCUGCAUUUGCAGGGAAUAAUGCAGGAGACCUACUGGAAAUUUG